GAAAUGCGAUAAGUAAUGUGAAUUGCAGAAUUCAGUGAAUCAUCGAAUCUUUGAACGCACCUUGCGCUCCUUGGUAUUCCUCGGAGCAUGCCUGUUUGAGUAUCAUGAAAUCUUCAAAAUAAAUCUUUUGUUCACUCGAUUGAUUUUAUUUUGGACUUGGAGGCUUGCAGAUUCACGUCUGCUCCUCUUAAAUUUAUUAGCUGGAUCUCGGUGAGCUCGGUUCCACUCGGCGUGAUAAGUAUCACUCGCUGAGGACACUGUAAAAGGUGGCCGGGAUUGCGGAUGAACCGCUUCUAAUAGUCCAUUGACUUGGACAAUAAAUACUUUAUGAUCUGAUCUCAAAUCAGGUAGGACUACCCGCUGAACUUAAGCAUAUCAAUAAGCGGAGGAAAAGAAACU
rnacentral:rRNA from 1 species